AUUAUAACAGCUAAAAUUUACUUGAUUUUGACUUUUAUCCUACAUGGAUAACUGUGGUAAUUCUGGAGCUAAUACAUGCAUAAAAGAUAUAACAUUUUUAUGUUAUAUUGCGUAUAUUAGUAUUAAAACCAAGCAUUCUUCGGAAUGUUUUGUGUUGAAACUGAAUAUAUCAUGCUAAUCGUAUGGUCUUGUACCGACGAUAUGUCAUUCAAGUGUCUGAUCUAUCAACUUUCUAUAUAAGUAUAUAGUACUUAUAUGGUUUUGACGGAUAACGGGGUAUUAGGGUACGACUCCGGAGAAAAUGCCUGAGAAACGGCGUUUACAUCCAAGGAAGGCAGCAGGCGCGAAAAUUACCCACUCUCAGUACGAGGAGGUAGUGACGAGAAAUGACAAGAUCUAUUCCUUCGGGGAUGGAUCAUUGGAAUGGUUUGAUUUUAAAAUCAUUAAAGAGUAUCAAUGAGAGGGCAAGUCUGGUGCCAGCAGCCGCGGUAAUUCCAGCUCUCAUACUGCAUUGAAUUGUUGUUGCGGUUAAA
rnacentral:rRNA from 1 species